ACCGCCAGCUAAGGUCCCAAAGUCAUAGUUAAGUGGGAAACGAUGUGGGAAGGCCCAGACAGCCAGGAUGUUGGCUUAGAAGCAGCCAUCAUUUAAAGAAAGCGUAAUAGCUCACUGGUCGAGUCGGCCUGCGCGGAAGAUGUAACGGGGCUAAACUAUGCACCGAAGCUGCGGCAGCGACACUAUGUGUUGUUGGGUAGGGGAGCGUUCUGUAAGCCUGUGAAGGUGUGUCGUGAGGCAUGCUGGAGGUAUCAGAAGUGCGAAUGCUGACAUAAGUAACGAUAAAGCGGGUGAAAAGCCCGCUCGCCGGAAGACCAAGGGUUCCUGUCCAACGUUAAUCGGGGCAGGGUGAGUCGACCCCUAAGGCGAGGCCGAAAGGCGUAGUCGAUGGGAAACGGGUUAAUAUUCCCGUACUUGGUGUUACUGCGAAGGGGGGACGGAGAAGGCUAUGUUGGCCGGGCGACGGUUGUCCCGGUUUAAGCGUGUAGGUGUGUGUUCCAGGUAAAUCCGGUU
rnacentral:rRNA from 1 species